rnacentral:rRNA from 1 species
GACGAACGCUGGCGGCGUGCUUAACACAUGCAAGUCGAACGGAAAGGCCCUGCUUGCAGGGUACUCGAGUGGCGAACGGGUGAGUAACACGUGGGUGAUCUGCCCUGCACUUCGGGAUAAGCCUGGGAAACUGGGUCUAAUACCGGAUAGGAGCCAUUUUUAGUGUGAUGGUUGGAAAGUUUUUUCGGUGUAGGAUGAGCUCGCGGCCUAUCAGCUUGUUGGUGGGGUAAUGGCCUACCAAGGCGGCGCCGGGUAGCCGGCCUGAGAGGGUGGACGGCCACAUUGGGACUGAGACACGGCCCAGACUCCUACGGGAGGGAGCAGUGGGGAAUAUUGAACAAGGGGCGCAAGCCUGAUGCAGCGACGCCGCGUGGGGGAUGACGGCCUUCGGGUUGUAAACUCCUUUCGCUAGGGACGAAGCUUUUUGUGACGGUACCUAGAUAAGAAGCACCGGCUAACUACGUG